rnacentral:rRNA from 1 species
AGAGUUUGAUCCUGGCUCAGGAUGAACGCUAGCUACAGGCUUAACACAUGCAAGUCGAGGGGAAACGACAUCGAAAGCUUGCUUUUGAUGGGCGUCGACCGGCGCACGGGUGAGUAACGCGUAUCCAACCUGCCCAUCACUUGGGGAUAACCUUGCGAAAGUAAGACUAAUACCCAAUGACGUCUCUAGAAGACAUCUGAAAGAGAUUAAAGAUUUAUCGGUGAUGGAUGGGGAUGCGUCUGAUUAGCUUGUUGGCGGGGUAACGGCCCACCAAGGCGACGAUCAGUAGGGGUUCUGAGAGGAAGGUCCCCCACAUUGGAACUGAGACACGGUCCAAACUCCUACGGGAGGCAGCAGUGAGGAAUAUUGGUCAAUGGGCGAGAGCCUGAACCAGCCAAGUAGCGUGCAGGAUGACGGCCCUAUGGGUUGUAAACUGCUUUUAUAAGGGAAUAAAGUGAGUCUCGUGAGACUUUUUGCAUGUACCUUAUGAAUAAGGACCGGCUAAUUCCGUGCCAGCAGCCGCGGUAAUACGGAAGGUCCGGGCGUUAUCCGGAUUUAUUGGGUUUAAAGGGAGCGUAGGCCGGAGAUUAAGCGUGUUGUGAAAUGUAGACGCUCAACGUCUGCACUGCAGCGCGAACUGGUUUCCUUGAGUACGCACAAAGUGGGCGGAAUUCGUGGUGUAGCGGUGAAAUGCUUAGAUAUCACGAAGAACUCCGAUUGCGAAGGCAGCUCACUGGAGCGCAACUGACGCUGAAGCUCGAAAGUGCGGGUAUCGAACAGGAUUAGAUACCCUGGUAGUCCGCACGGUAAACGAUGGAUGCCCGCUGUUGGUCUGAAUAGGUCAGCGGCCAAGCGAAAGCAUUAAGCAUCCCACCUGGGGAGUACGCCGGCAACGGUGAA